AGAGGCAAAGAGACUUUCCAAGCUGAACUGCUUUACUGAAACAGCUACCUGUGCGUAUUUCUUUUAUUUGAGUUACUAAUGGCCCUUGAUGACCCAUAUGAGAUGAAGGGAAUCAAAUGUAUUCCUCCCAGGACAACCACAAGACUUCCAAACAAGUUGGCAUGUGAUACAGUAAUUGUCUUAUUCGCAUUCCUGUCUUCUUUGCUUGUUAGGUGAGUUUGU
rnacentral:lncRNA from 1 species